rnacentral:rRNA from 1 species
GUGGGGAAUCUUCCACAAUGGACGAAAGUCUGAUGGAGCAACGCCGCGUGAGUGAAGAAGGGUUUCGGCUCGUAAAGCUCUGUUGUCGGGGACGAAUGUGCAGUAUUUGAAUAAAGUAGUGCAAUGACGGUACCUGACGAGGAAGCCACGGCUAACUACGUGCCAGCAGCCGCGGUAAUACGUAGGUGGCAAGCGUUGUCCGGAAUUAUUGGGCGUAAAGGGAGCGCAGGCGGGAAGGUAAGUCGGUCUUAAAAGUGCGGGGCUCAACCCCGUGAUGGGAUCGAAACUAUCUUUCUUGAGUGCAGGAGAGGAAAGUGGAAUUCCUAGUGUAGCGGUGAAAUGCGUAGAUAUUAGGAGGAACACCAGUGGCGAAGGCGACUUUCUGGACUGUAACUGACGCUGAGGCUCGAAAGCGUGGGGAGCAAACAGGAUUAGAUACCCUAGUAGUCC